UAUAUAUAUAUAUACACAUUUUUAGUAUCAAAAAAAUGUUUACAGUUUUAUUGCAUAAUCAUAUUUUUUAUUAAUAUAAAUAGUGGUUAAAUUCUUUUGCAUUAAAAUAUAAAAUUUAUGCUCUUUUAUAAUUUUAUAUUUUAUAUUUUUCAAUAGAUAUCAAAACCAAAAAUUCCAUUAACAUAUAAAUUUAAAAAAUGAAGUUGGAUAAAAACAAUUACAAUAGCUACAUCACUGUUAUAAAGAGUAUAGAAAACACAAGAUAACUUCAUAAUGUAGGAAAUAGAUGGCCUUGAUUGAACUUUUAAAGAUGUGUUUGUUGUGAAUUAGGUCAUAAAUAGUAGAAAGAAAUCAAUAUGAUUUACAGUAUUUUGAGAUGUCUUUAGAUAUAUUUAUAUAUAUAUAGCGAGAGAGAGAGAGAGAGAGAGAGAUAGAAUGUAACAUUUGAUUAGCAAUAAGACUAAUAAUUGGAAUAAGCUAAUGUAAUGAAUGAGUUUCUUUAGAACUAGUACAAACUACAUUGAAGGGUCUCUUCUCAUCUGCUGUUUUUUAUAAUGGCACCUGGGUUUUAUUUAGAACAUGGUAUUAUUUCUCAAACAUGUGCAAAAUUAUAUUAAUUGCAAUUUCCACAAAAAAAAUUCUACAAUUUUUGAAUUCUAACCAGAUACAAACCUAAACCAACUAACAUAGCACAAUAUCUUAAUAUUCAUAAAUGGAGAACAAACAAUAGGUUAACUUACAUGUGCAUUUUGAUGAUGUCUUCUGCACAAUUUAAACUACAUAGAUAAGAUUUUCAUAUAUAUAUAUAUAUAUAUAUUAAUAACAUUCAAAUUAUUAACCGAAUACUUAAUAAAUAUCGGUAGUUUUACAUAAAAUAUUUGAUGAAAAAAACUGAAUAUGAUUUGAGACAUGUCUAUCUUGGCCUGAUGAGUUUUCAAAGCACCACAGUUAUGUCAAUAAAGUGAAUAAAUACUGAUGAUGACUUUUGAAUUCUUUUUGAUACGUUUUUUUUUAAAUGUUUAUUAUUGAAUCAGGUUUAUUAUAAGAUUCCUUCUGAAGUUUAUGUGAUAAACUUCUAAAAGCGUCUUCUGUAUAGCAAUGCUUUGUGAUUUCCUUGAGAGGUUAUAUCUCAGAUUAAAGCAGAUAACAAAAAAUAAAAAUAAAAAAUCUUCAAUACAGUUAUAAUUGAAGUGAUUGAUGUGUUUGAAGACAGUUUCUUUUUGUGGACUUCUUUUGGAUUGAUGACAGUAUACUUUCAUUUGCUUAAAAAUUAUUUCAACCUCAGAAAUACUUCAACUCUGAUGAUUUAAGUUUUCAUAAAAGUUCAAUUUUAAGGUGCUUUAUCCUUCAAAAACUUACACUAAAAAAUCGUAUGAACACUGAACAAACACCUUCUUUGAAUUAGGCCUUCAUUUUUUGAAUGGCAACAAAAAUUUCAUCAAGAUUUUUUAUUUUUCUUUUUUCAAAUUAGAACAAUGAACUUUUGGUUGAAGCAAUUAAAUAUAUCUUCAAAAUUUAAUCAGUAAGACCUCACCAACAACUUCAAUUAAAUAAAUAGAAUAGAACUGUGAUAAAAUAUUUAGUUUUUGACGUUUUUACAAGUGAAAUCCGAAGUAAAUUCUAUCAGAGAGUCAUUUUCUUUUCAAAUAACGUUUAUUUCAAGCUUUAAUUUUUUUAUAAUUUUUAAAUUCCUAAAAUUUUGACCGAAUACAAUUCCUAUUUUUCAAUUUAAAAUGAAAUCUGUCAUUACAUUACUGAUUUGAGUUUCUCAUUCAUGUACUCGAAUUUUUCAUUUCAUCAACUCCAGACAAUUUUGAAGUGUCUUUAUCAUUAAGGUCAUUUGCAUUAAAACUUAGAAUGUUAUUAGUUUUCAAGAAAAUCAUUAGGUAAUGAAGACAACUUAAUAAUAACAUGAUUGCAUUUUUAAAAUAAUGUUUUCAAAAAUUUUAUCAUUAAUAAAAUUUUGCAAGAUGGCUUUUGUACAAAAAUAAUUAUAAAAUAAUUUAGAAAAUAAUUCUUGUAUGUUUAUAAUAAUUUAAUUUAAUUUUUUUAUAUAUAUAAGUUUUUCAUUGAGCAUAGCCAAAAAUUCUCAAGUAAUCUUCAUUUGAAUUU
rnacentral:lncRNA from 1 species